rnacentral:rRNA from 1 species
AACGAACGCUGGCGGCAUGCCUAACACAUGCAAGUCGAACGAGACCUUCGGGUCUAGUGGCGCACGGGUGCGUAACGCGUGGGAACCUGCCUUUAGGUUCGGAAUAACUCAGAGAAAUUUGAGCUAAUACCGGAUGAUGUCUUCGGACCAAAGAUUUAUCGCCUUUAGAUGGGCCCGCGUUGGAUUAGCUAGUUGGUGGGGUAAAGGCCUACCAAGGCGACGAUCCAUAGCUGGUCUGAGAGGAUGAUCAGCCACACUGGGACUGAGACACGGCCCAGACUCCUACGGGAGGCAGCAGUGGGGAAUAUUGGACAAUGGGCGAAAGCCUGAUCCAGCAAUGCCGCGUGAGUGAUGAAGGCCUUAGGGUUGUAAAGCCCUUUUACCCGAGAUGAUAAUGACAGUAUCGGGAGAAUAAGCUCGGGCUAACUCCGUG